AAGCGUGAUAACAAAGGAAAGGCAGUAGUUGAAACCAAAACGGUCGAGGUUGAGCAGCGACGAGCGGUUGGUGGUGUUGAGCAGAAAUAAUAAUAUGGUUGUUUUGAAACUUCGAGUGUCAUUGUGUCUUCACACAUGACUUCGCUCUUCUCUUGGAUGCUUCCGCUGUGAUAUUUUCUUUACGUACAUUUUUACUUAACUAUGAAUCUUUUUGAUUAAAUGUUGAGAACUCGUUACCCUUUUUAUUAAUGUCAAACCUUUGGUCU